CUCCAGACUCCUACGGGAGGCAGCAGUGGGGAAUAUUGCACAAUGGGGGAAACCCUGAUGCAGCGACGCCGCGUGAGCGAUGAAGUAUUUCGGUAUGUAAAGCUCUAUCAGCAGGGAAGAAGAUGACGGUACCUGACUAAGAAGCCCCGGCUAACUACGUGCCAGCAGCCGCGGUAAUACGUAGGGGGCAAGCGUUAUCCGGAUUUACUGGGUGUAAAGGGAGCGUAGACGGCGGCGCAAGCCAGAUGUGAAAGCCCGGGGCUCAACUCCGGGACUGCAUUUGGAACUGUGUGGCUGGAGUGUCGGAGAGGCAGGCGGAAUUCCUAGUGUAGCGGUGAAAUGCGUAGAUAUUAGGAGGAACACCAGUGGCGAAGGCGGCCUGCUGGACGAUGACUGACGUUGAGGCUCGAAAGCGUGGGGAGCAAACAGGAUUAGAUACCCCGGUAAC
rnacentral:rRNA from 1 species